UCUUCCCUACGGGACGCAGCAGUGGGGAAUAUUGCACAAUGGGGGAAACCCUGAUGCAGCAACGCCGCGUGAAGGAAGACGGUUUUCGGAUUGUAAACUUCUUUUCUUAGUGAAGAAGCAAGUGACGGUAGCUAAGGAAUAAGCAUCGGCUAACUACGUGCCAGCAGCCGCGGUAAUACGUAGGAUGCGAGCGUUAUCCGGAAUUACUGGGUGUAAAGGGAGCGCAGGCGGGACUGCAAGUUGGAUGUGAAAUACCGCAGCUUACCUGCGGCGCUGCCUCCAAAACUGUAGUUCUUUAGUGGAGU
rnacentral:rRNA from 1 species